GUGAGGUUGCCAAUAGCCAUAGGUGAAAUGGCUUCCCGUACUGAUGCGACUGUCCGCACUUCCUCGUUGUGUCAGGUGCACAACAGAUGACUGACGCCCAUAUCAUGUGACUUGUACUUAGCCUUCAUCGUGUGACGUCACUGACACAAGCAACACCUGCCAACAUCAAGAAAAUCGACCUAGGCAUUGAUGUAGCUUAGCCUAAGAGGCCACUGAAAUAGUUUUCAAAGAAGACAAGUCCCAAGGUAAGUAGAGUGC